rnacentral:rRNA from 1 species
GGGCCCGCACAAGCGGUGGAGCAUGUGGUUUAAUUCGAUGAUACGCGAGGAACCUUACCAGGGCUUAAAUGUAGUGGACAGGUCUAGAGAUAGACCCUUCUUCGGACUCAUUACAAGGUGCUGCAUGGUUGUCGUCAGCUCGUGCCGUGAGGUGUCAGGUUAAGUCCUAUAACGAGCGCAACCCCUAUCGUUAGUUGCCAGCGAGUAAUGUCGGGAACUCUAACGAAACUGCCAGUGCAAACUGUGAGGAAGGUGGGGAUGACGUCAAAUCAUCACGGCCCUUACGUCCUGGGCUACACACGUGCUACAAUGGCCGGUACAGAGAGCAGCCACUUCGCGAGUAGGAGCGAAUCUUCAAAGCCGAUCACAGUUCGGAUCGGAGUCUGCAACUCGACUCCGUG